rnacentral:rRNA from 1 species
UAGUCCACGCCGUAAACGAUGAGUGCUAGAUAUCGGGAACUUAGUUUUCGGUUUCGAAGCUAACGCGUUAAGCACUCCGCCUGGGGACUACGAUCGCAAGAUUAAAACUCAAAGGAAUUGACGGGGGCUCGCACAAGUGGUGGAGCAUGCGGUUUAAUUCGAUGCUACGCGAAAAACCUUACCAACCCUUGACAUGGUGAUUAUGGAUUCUAGAGAUAGAUUCCUUCAGUUCGGCUGGGUCACACACAGGUGUUGCAUGGCUGUCGUCAGCUCGUGUCGUGAGAUGUUGGGUUAAGUCCCGCAACGAGCGAAACCCUCAUCCUUAUUUGCCAGCGAUUCGGUCGGGAACUAUAAGGAAACUGCCGGUGAUAAACCGGAGGAAGGUGGGGAUGAUGUCAAGUCAUCAUGGCCCUUACGGGUUGGGCUACACGCGUGCUACAAUGGUGUCUACAGAGGGAAGCAAUACGGCGACGUGGAGCUAAUCCCUAAAAGACAUCUCAGUUCGGAUUGCUCU